AGCUCCAAUAGCGUAUAUUAAAGUUGUUGCAGUUAAAAAGCUCGUAGUUGGAUCUCGGGUGCAGGCUAGCGGUUCCACUCUCGUGGACACUGCUCGUCCUGACCUCCGCUGGUCGGUCUCCUCUUGGUGCCCUUGACUGGGUGUCUCGAGUGGCCGGAACGUUUACUUUGAAAAAAUUAGAGUGUUCAAAGCAGGCAUCGCGCCUGAAUAAUGUUGCAUGGAAUAAUGGAAUAGGACCUCGGUUCUAUUUUGUUGGUUUUCGGAAGUCGAGGUAAUGAUUAAGAGGGACAGACGGGGGCAUUCGUAUUACGGUGUUAGAGGUGAAAUUCUUGGAUCGCCGUAAGACGAACUACUGCGAAAGCAUUUGCCAAGAAUGUUUUCA
rnacentral:rRNA from 1 species